GCCGAGUGUGGUAGCUCAUGCCUGUAACUCUAGCUACUUAGGAGGCUGAGGCAGGAGGAUCGCUUGAGCCCAGGGGUUUGAGACUGCAGUGAGCUAUGUAGCCACCACUGCACUCUAGCCUGGACAGCAGAGUGAGACCCUGUCUCUU
rnacentral:SRP_RNA from 1 species